GAUGAACGCUAGCGGGAGGCCUAAUACAUGCAAGUCGAACGGUAAGUGUAGCAAUACAUGAUAGAGUGGCGUACGGGUGCGUAACACGUACACAACCUGCCCGAUACUGGGGUAUAGCCUUGGGAAACUGAGAUUAACCCCCCAUAACGAUACAGAGCGGCAUCGCUCCAUAUCUAAAACUCCGGUGGUAUCGGAUGGGUGUGCGUCUGAUUAGCUAGUUGGUGAGGUAACGGCUCACCAAGGCAACGAUCAGUAGCUGGUCUGAGAGGAUGAUCAGCCACACGGGCACUGAGACACGGGCCCGACUCCUACGGGAGGCAGCAGUAGGGAAUAUUGGACAAUGGACGAAAGUCUGAUCCAGCCAUCCCGCGUGAAGGAUUAAGGCCCUAUGGGUUGUAAACUUCUUUUAUCAGGGAAUAAAAACUGGGAUUCAUCCUAGCUUGAAGGUACCUGAGGAAUAAGCACCGGCUAACUCCGUG
rnacentral:rRNA from 1 species